GGUUGGCAACGACCACCCCGAGCCGGAAAGUUGGUCAAACUCGGUCAUUUAGAGGAAGUAAAAGUCGUAACAAGGUUUCCGUAGCUCAAGUACGGGAGAGCUCGAUCGCGAGGUCGAGCUGAUCCUUCCGCGUAACACUUGCCGAAGCCUUAGCAGCCCGAAAGGGUGCAGCCCCGACGACUAUAAUUCACGAGGGCUGCUGAAAUGCUAGUCUGCGCUGAGCAGGCGACACUAUCAAAUUGCGGGGACACCCUAAAGACCUCAACACCAAGCGAUCGCGGGAAACCGCGGCGUGGCCGAGCUAAUAGCCCUGGGUAUGGUAACAGCUUGAGGUAUGACACUCCUCGCGGAGUUGAAAUGGGCAAUCCGCAGCCAAGUCCUACAGCGCUCGUUCCUGAGCGCCAUGGAUGCUGUUCACAGGCCAAAUGGUAGUGGGUGACUCCUCCGGGAGUUGCUUAAGAUAUGGUCGGGCCCCUCCAGAAAUGUUGGGGAUAAGUUUACGCUGUCAGGCAGGGCACAAGUUGCGAGGCGAAUGGCUCUGCUAUAUACCUCUCCAACUCGACCUGUCUGGCGAGAACAACCGUUCCGUAGGUGAACCUGCGGAAGGAUCAUU
rnacentral:rRNA from 1 species